AGAGUUUGAUCAUGGCUCAGAUUGAACGCUGGCGGCAGGCCUAACACAUGCAAGUCGAGCGGAUGACAGGAGCUUGCUUCUGAAUUCAGCGGCGGACGGGUGAGUAAUGCCUAGGAAUCUGCCUGGUAGUGGGGGACAACGUUUCGAAAGGAACGCUAAUACCGCAUACGUCCUACGGGAGAAAGCAGGGGACCUUCGGGCCUUGCGCUAUCAGAUGAGCCUAGGUCGGAUUAGCUAGUUGGUGAGGUAAUGGCUCACCAAGGCGACGAUCCGUAACUGGUCUGAGAGGAUGAUCAGUCACACUGGAACUGAGACACGGUCCAGACUCCUACGGGAGGCAGCAGUGGGGAAUAUUGGACAAUGGGCGAAAGCCUGAUCCAGCCAUGCCGCGUGUGUGAAGAAGGUCUUCGGAUUGUAAAGCACUUUAAGUUGGGAGGAAGGGCAUUAACCUAAUACGUUAGUGUUUUGACGUUACCGACAGAAUAAGCACCGGCUAACUCUGUGCCAGCAGCCGCGGUAAUACAGAGGGUGCAAGCGUUAAUCGGAAUUACUGGGCGUAAAGCGCGCGUAGGUGGUUUGUUAAGUUGGAUGUGAAAGCCCCGGGCUCAACCUGGGAACUGCAUUCAAAACUGACAAGCUAGAGUAUGGUAGAGGGUGGUGGAAUUUCCUGUGUAGCGGUGAAAUGCGUAGAUAUAGGAAGGAACACCAGUGGCGAAGGCGACCACCUGGACUGAUACUGACACUGAGGUGCGAAAGCGUGGGGAGCAAACAGGAUUAGAUACCCUGGUAGUCCACGCCGUAAACGAUGUCAACUAGCCGUUGGGAGCCUUGAGCUCUUAGUGGCGCAGCUAACGCAUUAAGUUGACCGCCUGGGGAGUACGGCCGCAAGGUUAAAACUCAAAUGAAUUGACGGGGGCCCGCACAAGCGGUGGAGCAUGUGUUUAAUUCG
rnacentral:rRNA from 1 species